rnacentral:rRNA from 1 species
UGCGUAGGCGGAAAAUUAAGUCAGUGAUGAAAUCCUGCAGCUUAACUGUAGAACUGUUGUUGAUACUGAUUUUCUUGAAUAUAGUUGAGGUAGGCGGAAUGUGUAAUGUAGCGGUGAAAUGCUUAGAUAUUACACAGAACACCGAUUGCGAAGGCAGCUUACUAAGCUAUUAUUGACGCUGAGGCACGAAAGCGUGGGGAGCGAACAGGAUUAGAUACCCUGGUAGUC